rnacentral:rRNA from 1 species
GAUGAUCUAGCCCUGGGCAGGUUGAAGCGCGGGUAAGACCGCGUGGAGGACCGAACCCACCUGGGUUGAAAACCGGGGGGAUGACCUGGGGCUAGGGGUGAAAGGCCAAUCAAAUUCCGUGAUAGCUGGUUCUCUCCGAAAUGCAUUUAGGUGCAGCGUCGGUCGAUUGCGUCGCGGGGGUAGAGCUACCGGAUGCUUGCGGGCCCUUGUUGGGUACCAACAGCAGCCGAACUCCGAAUACCGUUGACGUGUAUUCCGGCAGUGAGUCGGCGGGGGAUAAGCUCCGUCGUCGAGAGGGAGACAGCCCAGACCGUCGUCUAAGGUCCCGAAGCGUGUGCUAAGUGGGAAAGGAUGUGGAGUCGCAUAGACAGCCAGGAGGUUGGCUCAGAAGCAGCCAUCCUUGAAAGAGUGCGUAACAGCUCACUGGUCUAGUGGUUCCGCGCCGACAAUGUAGCGGGGCUCAAGCACACCACCGAAGACGCGGCAGCAAUCUUCAUGGUUGCUGGGUAGGAGAGCGUCCUGCAUGGGGCGAAGCGGCCGGGUAACCGUGCCGUGGACCGUGUGGGAGUGAGAAUGCAGACAUGAGUAGCGAGAGACGGGUGAGGAUCCCGUCCGCUGGAUGACCAAGGGUUCCGGGGCCACGUUCGUCGUCCCCGGGUGAGUCGGGUCCUAAGGCGAGGCCGACAGGCGUAGUCGAAUGGAUGAACGGGUGGAUAUUCCCGUACCGACCAUGGACCGGCAAAACCGAGACGGUGAGUACUAACCUCCGCCUCGUGGUGGUUCCUUCCUUCGGGUUGGUUCCGCCGCGUGGUGUUGGGAGCGUAGCCGCAGUAGGUCAGCGCAGGGGUGACACGGAAUGGGAGCCGGCCGCGGAGGUGGUUUUCCGUGGUCAAGCACGCAGCCAGUCAUGUAGGCAAAUCCGCAUGGCGCGCAUGGCGAGGUGUGAUGAUGGGAGCCUUUUGGCUCGAUAUCCGGUUGUCCAGGCCGUCGAGAAAAGCCUCGGCGUGAGGGCCAUGGCCGCCCGUACCCCAAACCGACACUGGUGGUCAGGUAGAGAAUACCAAGGCGAUCGAGCGAAUCCUGGUCAAGGAACUCGGCAAAUCACUCCCGUGCCUUCGGUAUAAGGGAGACCCACUGGGGUGAAGGACCUUGCGUCCGGAGCUUUGGUGGGUGGCACAGACCAGGGGGUAGCGACUGUUUACCAAAAACACAGGUGCAUGCGAAGGCGAAAGCCGCUGUAUAUGCACUGACGCCUGCCCGGUGCCGGAAGGUUAAGAGGAUCCGUCAAUCCUUCGGGAUGAAGCGGUGAAUUCAAGCCCCGGUAAACGGCGGUGGUAACUAUAACCAUCCUAAGGUAGCGAAAUUCCUUGUCGGGUAAGUUCCGACCUGCACGAAUGGCGUAACGACUUCCCCACUGUCUCGACCAGGAGCUCGGCGAAAUUGCAGUACGAGUAAAGAUGCUCGUUAAGCGCAGAAGGACGAAAAGACCCCGGGACCUUUACUAUACCUUGGUAUUGGCGUUAGGCGCGGAUUGUGUAGCAUAGGCGGGAGGCUUCGAAGCGUGGGCGCCAGCUCAUGUGGAGCCGCAAGGUGAAAUACCGCUCUGUUCUCGUUUGACGUCUAACCUCGACAAGUCAUCCUUGUCAGGGACAGUGCCUGGCGGGUAGUUCAACUGGGGCGGUUGCCUCCCAAAGAGUAACGGAGGCGCUCAAAGGUCCGCUCAGCCCGGUUGGCAAUCGGGUGUCGAGUGUAAUCGCACAAGCGGGCUUGACUGCGAGGACGACGGUCCGAGCAGGGACGAAAGUCGGAGAUAGUGAUCCGGUGCCGGCGCACGGGCGCGGCAUCGCUCAACGGAUAAAAGGUACCCCGGGGAUAACAGGCUGAUCAUUCCCAAGAGUCCAUAUCGACGGGAUGGUUUGGCACCUCGAUGUCGGCUCGUCGCAUCCUGGGGCUGGAGCAGGUCCCAAGGGUUCGGCUGUUCGCCGAUUAAAGCGGCACGCGAGCUGGGUUCAGAACGUCGUGAGACAGUUUGGUCUCUAUCCUCUGCGCUCGUUGGAAUCCUGAGGAGGCCUGCCCAUAGUACGAGAGGACCUGGGUGGACGAACCUCUGGUAUGCCGGUUGUCGCGCCAGCGGCACGGCCGGUUGGCUACGUUCGGGAGGGAUAACCGCUGAAAGCAUCUAAGCGGGAAGCCUGCUCCAAGAUUAGGAUUCCGUACGGUCUUGAACCGUUGUAGCCCGCAUGUUGAACACGUGUUUGAUAGGCCGGAGGUGGAAGCCCCGUGAGGGGUGGAGCCGACCGGUACUAACGGGCGACGGCGACACAAC